GUGAUUCAUGACUGGGGUGAAGUCGUAACAAGGUAGCCGUAGGGGAACCUGCGGCUGGAUCACCUCCUUAAUCGAAGAU
rnacentral:rRNA from 1 species